rnacentral:rRNA from 1 species
GGGCCCGCACAAGCGGUGGAGUAUGUGGUUUAAUUCGAUGCAACGCGAAGAACCUUACCAGGGUUUGACAUCCUGCGAAUCUCUUGGAAACGAGAGAGUGCCUUCGGGAACGCAGUGACAGGUGGUGCAUGGCUGUCGUCAGCUCGUGUCGUGAGAUGUUGGGUUAAGUCCCGCAACGAGCGCAACCCACGUCGUUAGUUGCCAGCAUUUAGUUGGGCACUCUAGCGAGACCGCCGGUGAUAAACCCGGAGGAAGGUGUGGAUGACGUCAAGUCAUCAUGCCCCUUACAUCCUGGGCUACACACGUGCUACAAUGGUAGGGACAGAGAGCAGCCACUGGGCGACCAGGAGCAAA